AGGACGAACGCUGGCGGCGUGCUUAACACAUGCAAGUCGAACGGUAAGGCCCUUCGGGGUACACGAGUGGCGAACGGGUGAGUAACACGUGGGUGAUCUGCCCUGCACUUUGGGAUAAGCCUGGGAAACUGGGUCUAAUACCGAAUAUGACCUCAGGAUGCAUGUUCUGUGGUGGAAAGCUUUUGCGGUGUGGGAUGGGCCCGCGGCCUAUCAGCUUGUUGGUGGGGUUAAGGCCUACCAAGGCGACGACGGGUAGCCGGCCUGAGAGGGUGUCCGGCCACACUGGGACUGAGAUACGGCCCAGACUCCUACGGGAGGCAGCAGUGGGGAAUAUUGCACAAUGGGCGCAAGCCUGAUGCAGCGACGCCGCGUGAGGGACGACGGCCUUCGGGUUGUAAACCUCUUUCAGCAGGGACGAAGCGCAAGUGACGGUACCUGCAGAAGAAGGACCGGCCAACUACGCGCCAGCAGCCGCGGUAA
rnacentral:rRNA from 1 species